rnacentral:rRNA from 1 species
GAUGAACGCUAGCGGCAGGCCUAAUACAUGCAAGUCGAACGGAUAUAUGUUUUUCGGAAUAUAUAUUAGUGGCGCACGGGUGAGUAACACGUACAUAACUUGCCCUCAAGCGGGGGAUAGCCUUGGGAAACUGAGAGUAAUACCCCAUAGAAUUAUUGGACGGCAUCGUUUGAUAAUUAAAACUACGGUGCUUGGGGAUAGAUGUGCGUCUGAUUAGCUAGUUGGUGAGGUAACUGCUCACCAAGGCGACGAUCAGUAGGGGGCGUGAGAGCGUGGCCCCCCACACGGGUACUGAGACACGGACCCGACUCCUACGGGAGGCAGCAGUAAGGAAUAUUGGUCAAUGGAGGGAACUCUGAACCAGCCAUGCCGCGUGAAGGAUGACGGCCCUCUGGGUUGUAAACUUCUUUUGGAUGGGGCGAAAAAACGGGAUUUAUCCUGGACUGACGGUACCAUCAGAAUAAGCACCGGCUAACUCCGUGCCAGCAGACGCGGUAAAGUAGUCGUGU